rnacentral:rRNA from 1 species
UACAGAGGUCCCAAGCGUUGUUCGGAUUCAUUGGGCGUAAAGGGUGUGUAGGUGGCGCCGUAAGUCGGGUGUGAAAUCUCGGGGCUUAACUCCGAAACUGCAUUCGAUACUGCGGUGCUUGAGGACUGGAGAGGAGACUGGAAUUUACGGUGUAGCGGUGAAAUGCGUAGAUAUCGUAAGGAAGACCAGUGGCGAAGGCGGGUCUCUGGACAGUUCCUGACACUGAGGCACGAAGGCCAGGGGAGCAAACGGG